GAGUAGAUCUUAAAUGUUUUCAUCACAAAAGAGAAAUGGUAAUUAUGUGACAUGUUGGACGUAUUAGCUGAUACUAUGGUGAUAAUCAUUCUGCAAUACAUAAGUGUAUCAAAUCAACCUACAUGGUAAAACUUAAA